rnacentral:rRNA from 1 species
UACGGAGGGUGCGAGCGUUGUCCGGAAUCACUGGGCGUAAAGGGCGCGUAGGUGGCGCGGGCAGUCAACGGUGAAAGUUCGGGGCUCAACCCUGAAUCGGCCGUCGAUACUCCCGGGCUUGAGCACUGUAGAGGCAGAUGGAAUUCCGGGUGUAGCGGUGGAAUGCGCAGAUAUCAGGAGGAACACCAACGGCGAAGGCAGCACUCUGGGCCGGCACUGACGCUGAGGAGCGAAAGCGUGGGGAGCGAACAGG